CCCUUAGAUGUCCUGGGCCGCACGCGCGCUACACUGACAUGUUCAACAAGUUUCUCCUAGUUCGACAGGACUGGGAAAUCUUUGAACGCAUGUCGUGAUAGGGAUAGAUCAUUGCAAUUAUUGAUCUUGAACGAGGAAUUCCUAGUAAACGCGAGUCAUCAGCUCGCAUUGAUUACGUCCCUGCCCUUUGUACACACCGCCCGUCGCACCUACCGAUUGAAUGUUUCGGUGAAGAUUCCGGAUAGGACUGAUUUGAUUUAUUUCAUUUCUGACCUAAAAACCAUCUAAACCUCAACAUUUAGAGGAAGGUGAAGUCGUAACA
rnacentral:rRNA from 1 species